rnacentral:rRNA from 1 species
UACAGAGGAUGCAAGCGUUAUCCGGAAUGAUUGGGCGUAAAGCGUCUGUAGGUGGCUUUUUAAGUCCGCCGUCAAAUCCCAGGGCUCAACUCUGGACAGGCGGUGGAAACUACCAAGCUGGAGUACGGUAGGGGCAGAGGGAAUUUCCGGUGGAGCGGUGAAAUGCGUAGAGAUCGGGAGGAACACCAGUGGCGAAGGCGGCCUUCUGGACCAAUACUGACGCUCAUGCACGGAAGCGUGGGGAGCAAACAGG